GACAGAGGUCCCGAGCGUUAGGCGGAAUCACUGGGCUUAAAGCGUGUGUAGGCGGAUCUGUAAGUACCUUGUGAAAGCCCACGGCUCAACCGUGGAGGGUCAUUGGAAACUGGGGGACUUGAGUACAGAAGAGAAGAGUGGAAUUCCACGUGUAGCGGUGAAAUGCGUAGAGAUGUGGAGGAACACCAGUGGCGAAGGCGACUCUUUGGUCUGUAACUGACGCUGAGGCGCGAAAGCGUGGGGAGCAAACAGG
rnacentral:rRNA from 1 species